UUGAACGCUGGCGGAAUGCUUUACACAUGCAAGUCGAGCGGCAGCGCGGGGGCAACCCUGGCGGCGAGCGGCGAACGGGUGAGUAACACAUCGGAACGUACCCAGUUGUGGGGGAUAGCCCGGCGAAAGCCGGAUUAAUACCGCAUACGACCUGAGGGUGAAAGGGGGGGAUCGCAAGACCUCUCGCAGUUGGAGCGGCCGAUGGCGGAUUAGCUAGUUGGUGGGGUAAAGGCCUACCAAGGCGACGAUCCGUAGCUGGUCUGAGAGGACGACCAGCCACACUGGAACUGAGACACGGUCCAGACUCCUACGGGAGGCAGCAGUGGGGAAUUUUGGACAAUGGGGGCAACCCUGAUCCAGCCAUUCCGCGUGAGUGAAGAAGGCCUUCGGGUUGUAAAGCUCUUUCAGCCGGAACGAAACGGUACGCUCUAACAUAGCGUGCUAAUGACGGUACCGGCAGAAGAAGCACCGGCUAACUACGU
rnacentral:rRNA from 1 species